AAGCUGUAUAGUUUGGUUGGACAGAUCACCCCAUUAUCUACUGCUACAGAAGAAAAUGUCUUGUCACUAAACAAACCCACCACUUCAGUCAGAGAACUUCUGGAUGAACCGGAGCUUGUUACCACAAUACAGACUGAAUAUUUAAAACAACGCAAUGUUACAUGUACUUGUCUUCAUGAUGGUAGUAUAUGGACAAGUGGAGAGACCAAUGAUAUCAAAUGCUUCAACAGUAAAGGUUCACUCCUCCAAACAAUCAAAACAAACUCAGAAAAAGGGCCAAAUGAUAUAGUUGUAGACAAUAAUGGUGAUCUACUAUUAUCCAAUCGGAUAGCAGGGAAAUUAGAUAAAAUAAAGAAUGAACAGACAGAAGAGUUUUUUAAAUUACAAGGAUGGGGACCGUGUAAUCUGUGUGUCACCUCUACAGGCAAUCUCCUGGUUACCAUGUGCAGUGAUGAUGAAACUCAGUCCAAAGUUGUCCGUUACUCUGGAUCUACAGACAAACAAACCAUUCAAUUUGAUGAUGAUGGUAAACCUCUGUACUCUGGGAAUGCCAGGAUUAAAUACAUCACAGAAAACAGAAACCACGACAUCUGUGUAGCUGACUGCGGGGCUGGUGCAGUAGUGGUGGUUAAUCAGGCCGGGAAACUCAGAUGGAGAUACACCAGUCAUUCUUCAGUUACCAUAAACAAACCAUUUAGUCCCCGAGGUAUCACAACAGACAGUCAGAGUCGUAUCCUGACAGCAGACGGAAACAACAAUUGUAUCCACAUUCUGGAUCAGGAUGGGCAGUUUCUCCGUUACAUUGAUAACUGUGAUCUGAAGAUUCCUUACGGUUUAUGUGUGGACAAUAAUGACAAUCUGUUUGUGUGCGAGUUAUAUAAAAGCAAUGUAAAGAAAAUUAAAUAUUUAACAUAGACGGCUGGUUUUUGACAAUUAUAAAAAGCAACUUUUUUAAAUGUACAUUGAAUACUUUAUUUUAACAUUUUAUUUCAAUUCACAGAGAUAUCAAAGUUAAUUGUUUUUGUCCUCGGGAACAAAUAAUUAACUGCUCUAAUCGACAACCAAGGCUCAUGUGUAUGUCAUUUUGGUUUUAUGACUUGAAAAUGUUUUAUUAAAUGGUAAGAA
rnacentral:sRNA from 1 species